rnacentral:piRNA from 1 species
UGUGUACGGCUCCUUUACCUGCACACUGGGU